rnacentral:sRNA from 1 species
UGUGAUGUUGGUGAGCUCCGGGUUGUA